rnacentral:rRNA from 1 species
AUGCUUUCAGGCUUCAGGCUCUUGGGAAUGUACCAUCACCCUGCUACGGGCGAGUACAGACUACUGAUGCACCAUUGCCAGUGGUCCGAACCUGGCAGACAAGUUGGCUCCUAUGUCUUCUCAUUGGGCCCUGGCCAGCCCCUGAGGCACAUCGGCAAGUGUCUCGAUGCCAAUGAACUGAGCAACAUAUCUGUGCUAUUCCGUGGUUGCUUGCAUUGGUACCGAAUGAAGUGCCGGGGAAAAAGCUGCAUGAUAAUCGUGCUCGACACCAUAGCUGAGUCAUUCCGGCAGAUGUGCCCUCCAAAUGUUUCUGGCGGUGUCGACCUAUUUGAUAUGGAUGGCAUGCUCGGCAUGUCCAACUUAAAUUAUUCAGUGAAUAUAAUCGAAGUCUGGGUUCUACGGGACUAUGAAAGCGAGGUCUGGACUUUCAUGUACCAGAUUGAAUUGCCGUUUACGGAGAUCAGGGCGCAAUGUGGUUACCGUCAGAGUGCCGAUAUUUGGAGUGCGGUGGUCGUACCUAAGGAAGGUGAGUUGCUUGUGAUGGUACGGUUUAACGAGUGGCUGAUUCAGGUUGACAUGGAUGGCAAGUUGGUCGCCACUUUUCAUUGCAGGGGAGUCGUUCCUAUCCAAUUUCUUCUCAAACAAACUCUUGUUCCGCAUACCUUCUUUCCAACACUAGAGGGUUAUGUUGUGAACCAUUUUCCUUUAAUCUGA